rnacentral:tRNA from 1 species
GCCGGCGUGGUGAAAUGGCAGACACGGUAGACUCAAAAUCUACUGAGGGCAACCUCGUGAGAGUUCAAGUCUCUCCGCCGGCA